rfam:Gossypium raimondii Chr05_contig_853, whole genome shotgun sequence.
AUCCCAUGGUGAGACAUUUUCGUAAUAAUUCUUUGAAUCUCUCUCAUGCUUCAAAUAGGGAUUCAUCAUACAAUUGCUAAAAUGUGGUGAUCUCUUUUUGUAAUU